AUUGAACGCUGGCGGCGUGCUUAACACAUGCAAGUCGAGCGGUAACAGGCGUAGCAAUACGUGCUGACGAGCGGCGAACGGGUGCGUAAUACAUGGGAAUCUGCCCUUUGGUGGGGAAUAACCCGGCGAAGGCCGGGCUAAUGCCGCAUAAGAUCUUAGGAUGAAAGCGGGGGAUCGUAAGACCUCGGGCCGACGGAUGAGCCCAUGUCGGAUUAGCUAGUUGGUGAGGAAACGGCUCCCCAAGGCGACGAUCCGUAGCUGGUCUGAGAGGACGGCCAGCCACACUGGGACUGAGACACGGCCCAGACUCCUACGGGAGGCAGCAGUGGGGAAUAUUGGACAAUGGGGGAAACCCUGAUCCAGCGACGCCGCGUGUGUGAAGAAGGCCUGCGGGUUGUAAAGCACUUUCGAUGGGAACGAAAUGUGCCGGGCUAAUACCCCGGCAAGCUGACGUUACUCAAUGAAGAAGCACCGGCUAACUCUGUGCCAGCAGCCGCAGUAA
rnacentral:rRNA from 1 species